rnacentral:lncRNA from 1 species
ACACAGGUUACAGAGGUAUAGGCAGAUGAAAGAGCCAUGGUAAAGGUUAACUGAACCCUAGAAGGGUGUUUUGGGAACCCUGAGAUACCAGGGAGGAGUCUGGCAGAGAACUGGUCAUUAUUGAACAACCACAUAUGCAUUUUAGUGACUAGAGAGGUGGUAUUGUUUGUGGAAUGUCAGAGCAGUUGAAACAGGGUGGGUUUUUCCUGUAUCAGACAGUAAAAGGAAGAGAUCUUAUCUAAGCUGCCCUCCCAUCUCAAGGCUGGUGUCUCACUGCUGCCUGAAGAGAGUGUGUCUUUGCCUCUGGCUGGUGCUGACCCUGAGAUCAAGCAUUCUCAGCCCCUCUCACAGUCUGAAAAUGGUGUGGUAUCCUUCCCGUGUGUAUCAUAGUUUUCCACAUGCAGAAUCAUUUGGUCAUUGUCCUCAGAACACUGGCAUUGAGCAUUUCCAACCACAUGAAAUAAAACCUCUUUUGUUUUCCAUUCUUCUGUCUCUAAAAGAUAAAACACUUUGUUAAUUACAUUUUUCUCUGUAAUAUGGACUUCCCUUUUAGACUAUAUUUGCAUGCUGAAAAUUUGUUUAUAUGCACUGUCUUCUAGUUCUGGAGUGUUGUCUUCCAAUCAAGUGUUCUCAUCCACCCUAAGCUAAUGGUUUAAUUUUCACAGUCUCUUGUGACAUCACCGUUUCUAUAUUCCUUUUUAAAUGUCUUGUCCUCAUAUCUCUUCAUGUCAGUACCACAUUGCCCAGUUGAUGACUCCCUCUUCUUUUUUCUUAGCUCUGCAGACAUCUUCCUUAUCUUAAAACUCUGCUUGCAUUCAUUGGGAUUCCUCCAAGGAUCACUUUGGCAAUUCCUCUGCUGCCAGGCCCCACGCUGUUCUCUGACUGGGGUGCUGCCCCACAGUGGAGCCUAGCAACUCUGCUCAGCUUCUGUGUGUGCCACUGUCUCUUCUCCUCCUUUCACUCACACCUUACACACCAUUCACCUCUCUAGUUCUCCGGGAGACUGCUCCCAUGAACCCUAGAAUCUUCUGGCCAUUGUCUCCUAAACUUCAUGCUGGGAUGUUUAGUGGGCCUAUCCACAUUCAUGUUCUCCCAUGACCUGAGCUCCUCACAUGCCUCCCCGGCAUAGUCCUCAACAUCUCAGGAAGGUUACUCUCUACGUGGGGGACUUGGCUGGACACCUCCACAUAUAUCAAAAUUGUACAAUGUAUUAUGACAUUGGCAGGUUUUUUUUUUAUUG